GGUAAGGUGGCCGAAGCAGGUGUCGAGUUGUAGCCUCGAUCAUAAAGGUUAUAUCCUUUUCUUACCA
rnacentral:tRNA from 1 species